AUUGAACGCUGGCGGCAUGCCUUACACAUGCAAGUCGAACGGCAGCACGGGAGCAAUCCUGGUGGCGAGUGGCGAACGGGUGAGUAAUACAUCGGAACGUGCCCAGUAGUGGGGGAUAACUGCUCGAAAGAGCAGCUAAUACCGCAUACGACCUGAGGGUGAAAGCGGGGGAUCGCAAGACCUCGCGCUAUUGGAGCGGCCGAUGUCAGAUUAGCUAGUUGGUGGGGUAAAGGCCUACCAAGGCAACGAUCUGUAGUUGGUCUGAGAGGACGACCAGCCACACUGGGACUGAGACACGGCCCAGACUCCUACGGGAGGCAGCAGUGGGGAAUUUUGGACAAUGGGGGCAACCCUGAUCCAGCAAUGCCGCGUGCAGGAAGAAGGCCUUCGGGUUGUAAACUGCUUUUGUCAGGGAAGAAAUCCUCUGGGUUAAUACCUCGGGGGGAUGACGGUACCUGAAGAAUAAGCACCGGCUAACUACGUGCCAGCAGCCGCAGUAAAAC
rnacentral:rRNA from 1 species